rnacentral:rRNA from 1 species
UACAGAGGUGGCAAGCGUUGUUCGGAAUUACUGGGCGUAAAGGGCGCGUAGGCGGCCUUCUCAGUCGGACGUGAAAUCCCCAGGCUUAACUUGGGAACUGCGUCCGAUACUGGAAGGCUUGAGUGCGGGAGAGGGAUGUGGAAUUCCCGGUGUAGCGGUGAAAUGCGCAGAUAUCGGGAGGAACACCAGUAGCGAAGGCGGUUCUCUGGGCCGAUACUGACGCUGAGGAGCGAAAGCGUGGGGAGCGAACAGG